rnacentral:rRNA from 1 species
AACGUAGGUGGCAAGCGUUAUCCGGAAUUAUUGGGCGUAAAGGGUGCGUAGGCGGUGCGGUAAGUCUCUUGUGAAAUCUCCGGGCUCAACUCAGAGCCUGCAAGGGAAACUGCCGUGCUUGAGUAUGGGAGAGGUGAGUGGAAUUUCCGGUGUAGCGGUGAAAUGCGUAGAUAUCGGGAGGAACACCUGUGGCGAAAGCGGCUCACUGGACCAUUACUGACGCUGAUGCACGAAAGCUAGGGGAGCAAACAGG